AUCACCCUACUCCUUCCUCUACUGAACCUCCAUAACACUCACAUCACCCUACUCCUUCCCCUACUGAACCUCCAUAACACAUCACCCCACUCCUUCCCCUACUGAAUCUCCAUAACACAUCACCCCACUCCUUCCUCUACUGAACCUCCAUAGUGCUCACAUCACCCCACUCCUUCCUCUACUGAACCUCCAUAGUGCUCAC
rnacentral:lncRNA from 1 species